GCCUCGGUAGCUCGGUGGUUAGCGAGUCGAGCUAUCAACCCGGAGCUCGGGUUCGAAUCUCCGCCUCGGAA